GAUGAAGAACGCAGCGAAAUGCGAUACGUAAUGUGAAUUGCAGAAUUCAGUGAAUCAUCGAAUCUUUGAACGCACAUUGCGCCCUUUGGUAUUCCGAAGGGCAUGCCUGUUCGAGCGUCAUUAUCAACCAUCAAGCACUGCUUGGCAUUGACUGUCACCCGCCUGGCGGGCGCUGUCUAAAAAAGUCGGCUAAGGGCAUAACCGCUAAGCGUUAGUAAUACUUCCCGCUUUUCUGUGUUUUAUCCAAACGCCUCCAAAGACGAACACCUCAAGGUUGACCUCGGAUCAGGUAGGGAUACCCGCUGAACUUAAGCAUAUCAAUAAGCGGAUGA
rnacentral:misc_RNA from 1 species